GUAUGCGCAAAUAUGAGUAAUCAAUAUUGGGCGAGAAUAGUACUAGGAUGGGUGACCCUCUGGGAAGUCCUCGUGUUGCAUCCC
rnacentral:rRNA from 1 species